AGUUCUUGAGUGGGUGCGCAGGCGCAAGAGGAGCACACCGUUGCCAUUGCAGACCGUCACUCCCUGAGGAGUCUGAGGGCCGGCUGGGUGCUGGGCUCCUGGCUAUCCCUGUGAUGGUAGCUCAGCGAGAUCUGGGGACCUGGCGCUGAGCGCGUUGCCAGCCGGGAUCUUACUCUUCAUCUAGGCCUGGGCGCUGGCGUGAGAACUCGGACUGGGUCCUGGACGAGCGCACCCCGAAACUCCUUGGAACCUUGAACAAGUAAAAUGCAGGAAGUUUGCUAAUAAAGACAUCACCAAAGGUUAAAGAGAAAAUCAUCUAGAGGAAAUGCUGGCAGUAUGGCAUGUGUUCUUUUACAAAUCUCUACAGCAGAUUCUCUCGUUUUAGGGACUAUCCAGAUUAUGAUUGGCAUCUUUCACGUUUUCAUGUGGUACUUUCUAUUGGUUUUGUAUACGGGACAAAUUAAAGGAGCCUUUGGAACGUAUGAACCUGUAACUUACAAAACAGGAUGUACUUUAUGGGGAAUUUCUUUUAUCAUUGCAGGAGUCUUCCUAAUAAGAGUAACAAAGUAUCCGACUCGAUCUGGAAUUAUAAGUACUUUAAUCAUAAACAUCAUCUGCAUAAUUACUACAAUUACUGCAGUAACUCUAACAAUAAUAGAGUUGUCUCAUUUUAAUUCUGUGUCAUACAGGAAUUAUGGACAAGCGAAACUUGGGAGGGAAGUAUCACGUAUUUUACUGUUCUUCUACGCUUUGGAAUUUUCUAUUGCACUUACACACUCAAUAUACAGCUGUUCCAAUUUGUUUCGAAGACAAAAUGAUCUUACAUCUGUUACUGAGGAAGCUGACAGCACUCCUUAAAAACCCUAGAAAUGUGAGAAUUUUGCUGUUGCUGAUGCCUGGUGAGGGUCCUAAUGAUAUCUCUGUAUAACAAAGCAGUUACGAAGCCUACAGACUUUGUGCAAAAUAAAAUACAAACAAGAUUGUCUACUGUAUGCCAAUGAAUAAUAUAUUAAGCUCUGGAGUAUCAACAAUUAAUAAGGUACCACUCAGCAGACAUCAGUGCCAAUGCCAUUUGGGCUUGCAAGUAGGAUCCAGUGUCAAGAGAACUUCCAUCACUACAACAUCAGGAUCAAGAAGACCUUAGCAGCUACUACCACCAUAAACCCCAACAACUCACACUACUGCAACAAACAUCCCCACUGUUGCAUGCUGAGGAUCCAUGUAAUCUUUGUCAGUACCAAACCCAGCUGACAGAGCUGCAAAGAGACUGCACAGCUGUGCACUCAGUGAUGCCAGAACUGCUGCUGCAUCCCACCUAGCAAACACUCUUGCACCUCCUUUUUACCCAUAGGAAAAGGUGUUUAUACAACAAAAACUAGUCUGUAAAUUCUAGUAUAGGUGACUGCUCUACAAAUGCACAGAAAUCAACAUAAGGCAGUAAAGAACAUGAACAACUAAGUAGACAUACUACCAAAAUAACACAGUCUCCCAGUAGCUGACCCC